rnacentral:rRNA from 1 species
AACGCGAAGAACCUUACCAGGGCUUGACAUUUAGGUGAAGCGGCGGAAACGUCGUGGCCGAAAGGAGCCUAAACAGGUGGUGCAUGGCUGUCGUCAGCUCGUGUCGUGAGAUGUUAGGUUAAGUCCUGCAACGAGCGCAACCCUCGUCGUAUGUUGCCAGCGGUUAGGCCGGGCACCCAUACGAGAUCGCCGGCGUCAAGCCGGAGGAAGGUGGGGACGACGUCAAGUCAUCAUGCCCCUUAUGUCCUGGGCUACACACGUGCUACAAUGGCCGGCACAAUGGGCUGCCAACCCGCGAGGGUGAGCGAAUCCCUAAAGCCGGUCCCAGUUCGGAUUGGAGGCUGCAACCCGCCUCCAUGAAGUCGGAGUGCUAGUAAUCGCGAUCAGCACGC